CGGGAUCAUAGAGAGGAUAGGCACCAUAGAGAUCGUGACAGAAACCGGGAUAAGGACAGGGACAGAGAUAGGGGUCGUGACAGGGACCGCACCCGUGAUCGUGAUCGGGGUCGGGACCGUGGUCGUGAUUAUGAGCGAGAGCGUGACCGAGAUCGUGAUCGUCCUAGGGAGAGAGAAAAGGAGAAGGAGAAAGAUAGAGAUAAGGACUAUGAUGCCGGGGAACCUAACUAUGACCGUGGGCGUUCUCGUGAUAAAGAAUAUUAUGAUCACAUGGAAUCAAAGCAUGAGCGAGAACGACAUGGUGAAAGGGACCGGGACUUAGAACAUGCUGGGCCUGAGGAUGAUCAUGGGUGGUAUGAGCAGCCUGAGCAUGGGCAUAGGCGUCCAGAAGCUGAACAUGAUGAUGAGCAUUACAAGCACUAUGAUCAUCAAGCUCGAGGACAGUAUGAUCAUCUGGAUGCCCAGGGUGAUCACGACCUUUAUGAUCGUCAUGCUGACAAUGAUCGUGAUCGUUACAACCAAAUGGAUGAGGAUAAUUACCAUUAUGAUCAUGCAGCAUAUGACUCUCGUGAAAGGGAUAGGACUCGGGAUCUGGAGCGUGAAUAUCGGCGCUC
rnacentral:lncRNA from 1 species